rnacentral:rRNA from 1 species
GAGACAGCAGCAGCCGCGGUAAUACGGAGGGUGCAAGCGUUAAUCGGAAUUACUGGGCGUAAAGCGUACGUAGGCGGUGUGUUAAGCUAGAUGUGAAAGCCCCGGGCUCAACCUGGGAAUAGCAUUUAGAACUGGCACGCUAGGGUCCUGAAGAGGGUGGUAGAAUUUCCAGUGUAGCGGUGAAAUGCGUAGAUAUUGGAAGGAAUACCGGUGGCGAAGGCGGCCACCUGGUCAGAGACUGACGCUGAGGUACGAAAGCGUGGGGAGCAAACAGGAUUAGAUACCCCCGUAGUCCCUGUCUCUUAUAC